rnacentral:tRNA from 1 species
UAUAUGUUGGUGUAAAGCAUAAAAAGUUUUGAUCUUUUAGGUUUUGGUGGGAAUCCAUUACAUAUAA